CUAUGUUAGAAUUGUUGGAUUGAUGACUUGGGAUUGUUGUAUUCAUAUGGAUUAUGAAGAAUGAUGUUAAUUGCAUCUAAUUGAGACUGUAGAAAUUGUUAGAAGUAAAAGAAUGGGGAUUUGGUGAAGAAAACACCAUUAAUGGGGGUUAUAGAGCUUCAUGCCCACUAAGUGUUUGAUAAAAUGCUUAGAUGAACAAAACAUGGAUAUUGUUGCUAAUAUAGAAUCACUAUGACUUGUAUGCUAUAGAUUGAAGUUGAAGGGGGUGAAGGACAUUGUGAUACGCCCAAAAGCGGAAGGUUAAGGUACUGAUAUACAGGACGACACAUCUGCUCAGUAGGACAGCAUUCGUAUCAGCUUAUUUGUGAGCCCCAUCUCAUUCGGGGUUUAGUCAACUUUUAUCUUAUGAUUAGUUAUGCAUCUAAAGGUAUGCUGGGGGCCUUGUCCCAGUAAGUAUGUUUUUCAGUCAGACUCAUGAUAGAGGUUUCAUAGACUAGAACAGACAGUUAUGUCAUGUCAGAUAAUCGAAGUCGCAUAGCCAUUUUGGCUCACUCAUGUUUAAACAAGUACUUUAUUAAGUAUUAUGACUUAUUAUGUUUUAUAAAGGCU